rnacentral:rRNA from 1 species
CCUACGGGAGGCUGCAGUGAGGAAUAUUGGUCAAUGGACGAGAGUCUGAACCAGCCAAGUAGCGUGAAGGAUGACUGCCCUAUGUGUUGUAAACUUCUUUUAUAUGGGAAUAAAAUGUUCCACGUGUGGGACUUUGUAUGUACCAUAUGAAUAAGGAUCGGCUAACUCCGUGCCAGCAGCCGCGGUAAUACGGAGGAUCCGAGCGUUAUCCGGAUUUAUUGGGUUUAAAGGGAGCGUAGGUGGAUUGUUAAGUCAGUUGUGAAAGUUUGCGGCUCAACCGUAAAAUUGCAGUUGAAACUGGCAGUCUUGAGUACAGUAGAGGUGGGCGGAAUUCGUGGUGUAGCGGUGAAAUGCUUAGAUAUCACGAAGAACUCCGAUUGCGAAGGCAGCUCACUGGACUGCAACUGACACUGAGGCUCGAAAGUGUGGGUAUCAAACAGGAUUAGAUACCCGGGUAGUC